rnacentral:rRNA from 1 species
GUGGGGAAUAUUGCACAAUGGGCGCAAGCCUGAUGCAGUGACGCCGCGUGCGGGAUGACGGCCUUCGGGUUGUAAACCGCUUUUGAUCGGGAGCAAGCCUUCGGGUGAGUGUACCUUUCGAAUAAGCACCGGCUAACUACGUGCCAGCAGCCGCGGUAAUACGUAGGGUGCAAGCGUUAUCCGGAAUUAUUGGGCGUAAAGGGCUCGUAGGCGGUUCGUCGCGUCCGGUGUGAAAGUCCAUCGCUUAACGGUGGAUCUGCGCCGGGUACGGGCGGGCUGGAGUGCGGUAGGGGAGACUGGAAUUCCCGGUGUAACGGUGGAAUGUGUAGAUAUCGGGAAGAACACCAAUGGCGAAGGCAGGUCUCUGGGCCGUUACUGACGCUGAGGAGCGAAAGCGUGGGGAGCGAACAGGAUUAGAUACCCCAGUAGUCC